rnacentral:rRNA from 1 species
GAUGAACGCUGGCGGCGUGCCUAAUACAUGCAAGUCGAGCGAACGGACGAGAAGCUUGCUUCUCUGAUGUUAGCGGCGGACGGGUGAGUAACACGUGGAUAACCUACCUAUAAGACUGGGAUAACUUCGGGAAACCGGAGCUAAUACCGGAUGAUAUUUUGAACCGCAUGGUUCAAAAGUGAAAGACGGUCUUGCUGUCACUUAUAGAUGGAUCCGCGCUGCAUUAGCUAGUUGGUAAGGUAAUGGCUUACCAAGGCAACGAUGCAUAGCCGACCUGAGAGGGUGAUCGGCCACACUGGAACUGAGACACGGUCCAGACUCCUACGGGAGGCAGCAGUGGGGAAUAUUCCGCAAUGGGCGAAAGCCUGACCGAGCAACGCCGCGUGAGUGAUGAAGGUCUUCGGAUCGUAAAACUCUGUUAUUAGGGAAGAACAUAUGUGUAAGUAACUGUGCACAUCUUGACGGUACCUAAUCAGAAAGCCACGGCUAACUACGUG